rnacentral:rRNA from 1 species
GACAGAGGGUGCGAACGUUGUUCGGAAUUACUGGGCGUAAAGCGCGUGUAGGCGGCCCUGCAAGUCGGAUGUGAAAUCCCACGGCUCAACCGUGGAAGUGCAUUCGAAACUGCAGGGCUAGAGUCCUGGAGAGGAAGGUGGAAUGCUUGGUGUAGAGGUGAAAUUCGUAGAUAUCAAGCGGAACACCGGUGGCGAAGGCGGCCUUCUGGACAGUGACUGACGCUGAGACGCGAAAGCGUGGGGAGCAAACAGG